rnacentral:rRNA from 1 species
UGGGGAAUAUUGCACACUGGGCGCAAGCCUGAUGCAGCAACGCCGCGUGAGGGACGACGGCCUUCGGGUUGUAAACCUCUUUUGGCAGGGAAGAAGCGAAAGUGACGGUACCUGCAGAAAAAGCACCGGCUAACUACGUGCCAGCAGCCGCGGUGAUACGUAGGGUGCAAGCGUUGUCCGGACUUAUUGGGCGUAAAGAGCUCGUAGGCGGUUUGUCGCGUCUGCUGUGAAAACCCGAGGCUCAACCUCGGGCCUGCAGUGGGUACGGGCAAACUAGAGUGCGGUAGGGGAGAUUGGAAUUCCUGGUGUAGCGGUGGAAUGCGCAGAUAUCAGGAGGAACACCGAUGGCGAAGGCAGAUCUCUGGGCCGUAACUGACGCUGAGGAGCGAAAGCAUGGGGAGCGAACA